UUAAAAUAACUUCUAACUCUAAUCCACCUCUACUUUAUUAUGACGGUAUCUGCCUAAUGUAGAACUAUAUUUUUACAUUUAUUUUUAAAAAAAUUAUGUCGUUAAAACCCAUUAAUAGGACUAAAUGAUUUCAAG